rnacentral:rRNA from 1 species
CAGUAGCCGCGGUAAUACGGAGGGGGCUAGCGUUGUUCGGAAUUACUGGGCGUAAAGCGCACGUAGGCGGCUUGGUAAGUUAGAGGUGAAAGCCCGGGGCUCAACUCCGGAAUUGCCUUUAAGACUGCCGAGCUAGUAGGUGAGAGAGGUAAGUGGAAUUCCGAGUGUAGAGGUGAAAUUCGUAGAUAUUCGGAAGAACACCAGUGGCGAAGGCGGCUUACUGGCUCAUACUGGACGCUGAGGUGCGAAAGCGUGGGGAGCGAACAGGAUUAGAUACCCGCGUAGUCCCUGUCUCUUAUAU